AUGGCCACCUCCUCCUCCUCCCCGCUCCGGAUCCCCACACCAACCCACCACCCCGCCGUGGGGGUGUGUCCGCGGCAGCUGUCCUUCCACGUCGUCUCCCCGCAGCAAGCGCUGGCACCGGGCGACAGCGACGAUGCCAACGGGCCCACUGGUGUGCCCGUGCCCUUCUACCGUGCAGGCGGCUGUUCCGGCGGGGGUCAACGCCGCAGGUGGUGCGCGAGGGGCUGCCACCGUCGCGUGCUGCCGGAACAAGCAGCAAGGGAGCUUCCGCUUGGCGCGUGCAUCUCCUUCCUUCGGCAGAAGUAG
rnacentral:rRNA from 1 species